CUUUGCCUUUUCUAGGGCCACUCCCGCAGCAUAUGGAGGUUCCCAGGCUAGGGGUCAAAUCGGAGCUGUAGCCACCGGCCUACGCCAGAGCCACAGCAACGCAGGAUCGGAGCCACAUCUGUGACCUACACCACAGCUCACGACAACACCCGGUCCUUAACCCACUGAGCAAGGGCAGGGAUUGAACUGGCAACCUCACGGUUCCUAGUCGGAUUCGUUAACCACUGCGCCACGACAGGAACUCCUCUUUCUAACUUUUUAUUUUCCAUCAUCCAAGCCAAGACCUUGAGCACAACUGCCACCACAAAGGGGUAUAAACAGUCAAAUCAUCUCAUUUGCUUCCCAAACCCCAAGCAUACAGGGAAGAAUAGGGCCUUUAACAGAUCAAAUAGCACAUUAAUCGUAAGAGAAGGACUGCUAAAAUCCAAUUCAAGUUGAAGGGAAGGAAGGGGGUGAUUUUUCCUUUGUUGAAUGUCACAAUAAAUUUACACCCAGAUUCAACAAGUGCUUUUCAGUGGCUUCACAGUAGCAGAGGUAAUUAUACUACCGCCUCUUGAUGUAUGAGUCCCCAUUGAGCGAAGUCGAAUCCCAAGGACAGCAUUCCAGAGCAGGCAAAAGAAUUCUUUCCAUACACACCCACUGUGUGUCUUGGUUUAGGCCAGACUUCUCUGAAGGAGACAGAGUUGGAAGCAAAGGCGAGGAGCUAAAGUUGCUCUGAUAGGGACCCAGGCAGAUACACAAAAACUAUUAACAUUCAAGUGCUUACCUUCAAGAACUGCUCUAAAAUUUUCACCUAUCACCUCCUGUCAAUUAUGAAUUCGUAAGGACUAAAGGCUCAUGUAAUGUGUUUAACCUCUCACAGAGUCCAGGACAAUGCCUUAAAUACAGUGGAGAAUGAACAAACAUUUGAUGAGUUGAAACGAAAAAGAAUUCCAGGAGGUCAGUUGCAAAGGGCAUUUCCUGCAGUAACAGAGCUUCACAGAAAUCAUGCCACACUCGGGAGUUCCCACUGUGGCUUAGCAGAAAUGAACCCAAGUACCCAUGAGGACACAGGUUUGAUCCCUGGCCUCGCUCAGUGGCUCAAAGGUUCCAGCAUUGCUGUGAGGUGUGAUGCAGGUCCCAGACGCGGCUUGGACCUGGCACUGCUGUGGCUGUGGUACAGGCCAGCAGCUAAGCUACUGCUCUGAUUCAACCCCUAGCCUGGGAACUACCAUAUGCCAUGGGUGUAACAUACUUAUACAUAUGUGCCUAUAUACAGAUACAUCUGGGAACAAAUGAAUGAAAGAGUAAGCCAUCAAAGAAACUACAUAUUUUACAUAUGUAUCCUUUUUAUUUUCUGGUUCCUAUUAAAAUAUCAGUUCCAUCAAGACAGGAAGCUGUGCCUGCUCACUGCUAUUAACAACAUGCCACAGGAUAAUGGUCAGGAAAGAAGAGGCAGCUGCUAUUUUCUUAAUUUAUGUUAUCAAAUGAAUGAAUUAAAUGCUAAGGAAAAGCCAAGUACUGUGCUAGGUCCCUGAAGAUGGAAGGAAUAUAAUGCAUCAUCUUAUCUGGGAGAAGGUAGCUCUCACACGCAUCAUUGCUCUACAUGGAUACGAUUAGGGCUACAAUGAAGGGUGAAACUUUUCUGCUGGGAAGAAACGUCUUUUCAUUUAUGGGAUAUUAACACUUUAUAAAUGCCCAAUCACAUGUAUUUUGCAAUUAACGUUCAUUCUCCCAUCCCCCUGUGCAAUCAUAUUCUUAGUCUCGGGCAAGAGGGGCUCUUUCCCCCACCUGCCCACUAGGAGCUCCAAAUCCCCUUCUGGGUCACAUUCCAGCUGCUAGGACCCCGACAUUCUCUUUUAAGCAGCCCACACACCCCUAAGGGAUCUCUACAGGUUUUUUCCCCUGAGAUAUUCUCCCAAGGGCAACCUUUAAUAAGCAACCCGGGCCCCUAGCAUGGGGUGUUGACCCAGUGGAUACCUUGACUCAGCUGUUCCCAGGCAUGCGUGCUAGGUUUAUGCUUCUGCUCAUGCCACUGGUCAAGUGUGGAACUCUGUAGGAUUUGGAAGCUCAAAUUCCAACCUGGCCUACAAGGUCAUUAUAAAGUUGCAUUUUGUCAGAAUUGGAGGCGUUCUCACUAUAUUCUGACAGUUUUUUAAUUUGAUGUGUCGACCUGCAAAUAUUUAGAUGUGUAGAAGGUAGACCUGCCUUCUCCUUCUAAUCCUGGGCACCACAAUGAACAAAGGGCAAGCCCAGGGCCAUUAACCAACUGCCUGAGGACACAAGACCAGUAACUGGAAGAGUCAGAAUUCAAAUCAGUUCUUUACAACCUCAGGGUCAGUUCCUAGGGCAAAGCCCCUCCCAUCGGCUUCACAGCUCCAAAACACUUGGGAGCACGCU
rnacentral:lncRNA from 1 species